AUUGCAGGGGGGGGGACGGGAAUUUCAGGGUGUAGCGGUGGGAAUGCGGUGGAUAUUUGAAAGAACCCCCAAGGGGGAAGGCAGUUUCCUGGGCAAAUACUGACGUUCAUAUGCGAAAGCGUGGGUAGCAAACAAGAUUAGAUACCCUGGUAGUCCACGCCGUAAACGAUGUCAAUUAGGAGCUUGGACUUAAGUCUGGGUUCCGUAGCAAACGCAAUAAAUUGACCGCCUGGGGAGUACGGCCGCAAGGUUAAAACUCAAAGGAAUUGACGGGGACCCGCACAAGCGGUGGAGCAUGUGGUUUAAUUCGAAGCAACGCGAAGAACCUUACCAGGUCUUGACAUCCUUCUGACCGGUCCGCAACGGGGCCUUUCCUUCGGGACAGAAGAGACAGGUGGUGCAUGGUUGUCGUCAGCUCGUGUCGUGAGAUGUUGGGUUAAGUCCCGCAACGAGCGCAACCCUUAUCUUCAGUAGCCAGCAGUACGGCUGGGCACUCUGGAGAGACUGCCGGGGAUAACCCGGAGGAAGGUGGGGAUGACGUCAAAUCAUCAUGCCCCUUAUGAUCUGGGCUACACACGUGCUACAAUGGUAGGAACAGAGUGAAGCAAACCCGCGAGGGGGAGCAAAUCACAAAAAAUCUAUCCCAGUUCGGAUUGUAGUCUGCAACUCGACUGCAUGAAGCUGGAAUCGCUAGUAAUCGCAGAUCAGAAUGCUGCGGUGAAUACGUUCCCGGGUCUUGUACUCACCGCCCGUCA
rnacentral:rRNA from 1 species